rnacentral:rRNA from 1 species
UAGGGAAUCUUCCGCAAUGGACGAAAGUCUGACGGAGCAACGCCGCGUGAGUGAUGAAGGUUUUCGGAUCGUAAAACUCUGUUGUUAGGGAAGAACAAGUUGGGUAGUAACUGACCCAACCUUGACGGUACCUAACCAGAAAGCCACGGCUAACUACGUGCCAGCAGCCGCGGUAAUACGUAGGUGGCAAGCGUUGUCCGGAAUUAUUGGGCGUAAAGCGCUCGCAGGCGGUCUUUUAAGUCUGAUGUGAAAGCCCACGGCUUAACCGUGGAGGGUCAUUGGAAACUGGAGGACAUGAGUACAGAAGAGGAGAGUGGAAUUCCACGUGUAGCGGUGAAAUGCGUAGAGAUGUGGAGGAACACCAGUGGCGAAGGCGACUCUCUGGUCUGUAACUGACGCUGAGGAGCGAAAGCGUGGGUAGCGAACAGG